AUUGAACGCUGGCGGCAGGCCUAACACAUGCAAGUCGAACGAGUGGCGGACGGGUGAGUAAUGUCUGGGAAACUGCCUGAUGGAGGGGGAUAACUACUGGAAACGGUAGCUAAUACCGCAUACCAUCGGAUGUGCCCAGAGGGGAUUAGCAAGUAGGUGGGGUAAAGGCUCACCUGGGCGACGAUCCCUAGCUGGUCUGAGAGGAUGACCAGCCACACUGGAACUGAGACACUGGCCAGACUCCUACGGGAGGCAGCGGUGGGGAAUAUUGCGCAAUGGGCGCAAGCCUGGUGCAGCCAUGCCGCGUGUGUGAAGAAGGCCUUCGGGUUGUAAAGUACUGUCAGCGGGGAGGCGGUACCCGCAGAAGAAGCACCGGCUAACUCCGUGCCAGCAGCCGCGGUAAUAC
rnacentral:rRNA from 1 species